rnacentral:tRNA from 1 species
GCGCACUUAGCUUAGUCGGUCAAAGCAUCACUCCUGAAGUUUGAGGUUGCGGGUUUGAGUCCCGUAGUGCACA